CUGCCUGUUGGCUGGGUGAGUGCACUGUCAUCUAGUCGCCCUGACGGUCAGGGCCAUGAGCCGUUACGAGCGCCCGAUAGAUAGCACAAUACUUGGAUCCGAAGGUUCUGGGGAGAGGUGAGCACAGCUGCAGGCUGGAGACGGCCCACCUCCAGGGAGCAUCCCUUGCGAAGCAUCGAUUGGUGUGGAGGAGAAAGCGAGCAGUGAACGGAUUCUGUUUUAAAUGAAAACAUGAGACGCCAAAGAAAUGGUGGCUUUAUCAUGGGAGUGAAGAAAACAAGCGGAGCUGCUGGGGACUUGCGAGCAGGAGCUGUGACCACUCUGGGCCGGAGGGCAGUGAAGAGAAGUUGUCACCAGAGCGAAGGCCAGGGCCCAGGAAGGGCCCCCUGGCAGGACCCGUGCUCCUGGAGAGACAGGCCAGGCCGCUGCGGGAAUGUGGCAGAGCAAGGCUGGUGAAGAACGGCGCCCCUCCCACCUGCCUUCCUCCAGGUCAGCAUCCUAAGCUCCAAUUUUCCUAUUGAAACACUGUGUACGUCAUCCCCACCCGCCCCACCCCCAUCCAAGCUGGCUGCCUGUGGACCAAGAAGGCCACCUGACCACAGGAAAUGACCGCUGGCCUAAAGAGUCCUGUCAGCUCUGAACCCAGCACCCAGCCGCUAUUCCCGCUGACCAUCAAUGCUUCUUUGUCCCUCCCUGAACCACUAAGCACAGGUCACACUUCCUGUGGCCAGUGCCCGCAGCUGACCCCUGCGCAUCUGGGUUACUUAUUUCCCCAGGUCCCAACGGGCUAGUCACAAGAAGUGGCCUCCGGAGACAGGAGCUCUGCCCUUCACCCAGGCCCCUCCCGCCCCCGCCUGUCCAGGUGCCCACCCACCCAGGGGAUGUUUACUGCCUUUUCCUGCCCUCCACCCUUCUUGGGUCUCCCUCUCCACCCCCCCUCUUGGUCAAUGGGUACAUUUUCUGCCGACGGCAGGGGAUGUGGGGGCAUGGCAAUGUGAGACCCAGGAAGGAACGUGCCAGCUGCCGUGCCCACCCCUGCGGCCGUGCGCCCUCUCCCCCCUUCCCUCUGAGGGCCUGGGUGCACACAUUCCAAGUCUACACGGCAGAGCCCUUUCUGACCCCACAUUCUUUCUGCAUGAGUUCAGUUGGUCACUUUUUAAACCAGACUUAAAUAAAAACACACACACACAAAUACUCAUAUAUAUGUGGAACACGCUCAUAUGCACAUACACACAGCACGCUCACACACUCAUAUAA